rnacentral:misc_RNA from 1 species
UCGCGACGUUCGACGAUUUUGGUUUCUCGUUUUCUCUUGUUCUCAUUGCAGAAAGUCUUUUUGCCCUUUUAGGGGAGGGCGGUCUCUGCUAUGUCGUUCGGGCGGCUUUUUGGCCUCGACGUGCGGGCAUAUAUACGCGUGUGAGGCGUGGUAGCCACCUUUCCCUCGCUCUUAUGUUGAGGAGGAUGCUAGCUGGUUUUACUGUGUUGUCUGUCAGUUCAACUGAAGUUCUCCGCGACCGGCCCCCAUCAUGCCCGCCACCGGGGUGAUACAUGACGGCUAAGGAAGGGUUGAUCCCGCACCUUCGUAAGCGUCAUCGAAAAGAUAAGCAAGCCAUACCGUGAAAGUGGAAUACGGAAGCCAGCUCCCCCUCCCCGUUACCUGGCGGUGUCCAACAUACUGGAGACAUGAUCCACAGCACGGUCAGGGAACGGGACGGAGCCCCUUCAACUCAGUAACUGCCCCCUUUUCCUGUUUCUUCUGUCUGUCUCUCUGUCUCACUGAUUUCACACCAGCGAGGGCACAAGAAAUAUUCGUGAAGGCACAGCGACGACAUCCACCACUGCCGUCCCCCGGUUACUUCAGUUCGUUUUUUUUUCGUUCCUCUCUCUACCCCUGUGAACAGGCGCAGAUAAAAGGUUGUCUCUUCUUCACCCCGCACAUUUCUCUAUCUCUCUUUGUGUGCGUGCGCGUCUCCGGCACCUUGAUUCCCACCCUUUGCCUCACUCUCCUCAUCUCCCACCUUUUGGCUAACUUCCAUGAUGUGCUUGACUUUAGCCAUUCUCGAUUUCUUGUACUGCUGUCGACUCUGUCUUCCUUUUCUUUCUUCCUCGUCGAUUUCUCCGAGAAGACGGCGCUGAGGGCCUCGAGACGCACCCGUGCACAAUAAC